rnacentral:rRNA from 1 species
GAUGAACGCUAGCGGCAGGCUUAACACAUGCAAGUCGAGGGGUAUAGUUCUUCGGAAUUAGAGACCGGCGCACGGGUGCGUAACGCGUAUGCAAUCUACCUUUCACAGAGGGAUAGCCCAGAGAAAUUUGGAUUAAUACCUCAUAGUAUAGCAGUUUCGCAUGAAACCACUAUUAAAUUCACAACGGUGAAAGAUGAGCAUGCGUCCCAUUAGCUAGUUGGUAAGGUAACGGCUUACCAAGGCUACGAUGGGUAGGGGUCCUGAGAGGGAGAUCCCCCCACACUGGUACUGAGACACGGACCAGACUCCUACGGGAGGCAGCAGUGAGGAAUAUUGGACAAUGGGCGCAAGCCUGAUCCAGCCAUGCCGCGUGCAGGAUGACGGUCCUAUGGAUUGUAAACUGCUUUUAUACAGGAAGAAACACUCCGACGUGUCGGAGCUUGACGGUACUGUAAGAAUAAGGAUCGGCUAACUCCGUGCCAGCAGCCG